rnacentral:lncRNA from 1 species
CAACAGUAAAAAAACAAUCCAGUUAGAACAUGGGCAAAAGACAUGAGACAUUUCACCAAAGAGGAUACACAGAUGGCAAAAAAGCAUAUCAUUAGCCAUGAGGGAAGGGAAAAUUGAAACCACAAUGAGGUUCCAUUACACAUUAGAAUGGGAGAAAAGUGACAAUACCUAAUGCUUGUGAGGAUGCAGAGAAACUGGAUCACUCAUUCAGCGCUGGUGGGAAUGUAAAAUGGUCUAGCCAUUCUAGAAAACAGUUUGAAAGUUUCUUAAAAACCUAAACACACAACUAUCAUAGGACCCAAUAGGACCCAUAGGACCCAGAUUUAUCCCAGAUAAAUGUUUCAGGUUUUUGCGGAGUUUUUUAUUCUUGGUCAUAUUUUUUUUCCAUUAUAUUUUCUAUUGAGGUUAUGAUAGUUUACAACCUUGUGAAAUUUCAGUUGUACAUUAUUAUUUGUCAGUCAUCUUACAGGUGCACCCCUUUACCCUUUGUGCCCACUCCCCUCCCCCCAGUAACCACUAUUCUGUUCUCUUUGUCCACGUGUUGUUUAUCUUCCACAUAUGAGUGGAGUCAUACAGAGACUGUCUUUUCGCUAUCUGGCUUAUUUGGCUUAAAAUAAACCCUCAAGGUCCAUCCAUGUUCUUGUGAAUGGGACGAUUUUACCCUUUUUUAUGGCCGAGUAGUAUUCCAUUGUGUAUAUAUACCACAUCUUCUUUAUCCAAUCAUCAGUCGAUAGGCCCUUGGGAUGCUUCCACGUCUUGGCUAUUGUGAAUAGUGCUGCAAUGAACAUAGGGGUGCAGAAGUCUCUUUGAAUUGCUGAUUUCAAGUUCUUUUAUUCCAGAUGAAUGAAGACUUACGUCCACACAAAGACCUGGACGUGAAUGUUAACAGCAGCUGUAUUUGUAAUAGCUGGAGACUGGAAACGACUCAGAGUCCUUCAAUGGGUGAAUGGGUCAGUGAACCCGGGCCAUCCACUCCAGGGAAUCCUACUCAGCAGUAAGAAGAAAGGAACUGCUGGCACACACCACCUGGAUGAAGCUCCCAAGAAUUCGCUGAGUGAAAAACGCCGUUGUCCGAAGGCUACACACUGUGGGAUUCCAUCACCGUGACAUUCAUAAAAUGACAAAAUUAUAGAAAUGGAGGGAGAUUGCAAUAUUAUCAUAUAGUUUUGCAAGAUGUUGCCAUCGGGGGAAACCAGGUGAACAUGAGAUCUCUCUGUUUUAUUUCUUACAACUCCAUCUCAGAAUAACAAGUUUAUGGCUGGCUUAGUCCUACACCAUCCUGGGAGGCAGGUGAGACCAGAAGUGGGACUGGUGUCCACACACAUAGCCCCAGGCCCACAGUGUGUCCACGGCCCCUUUCUGGCAGGGCCUCAUUGCCCAGGGCUCUGACAUCCUUCAGGCAUCCUCUGUCUGUCCCACAUCCGCAGCGGCUAUGUGCCUCUCUUUCCUCUCAGUCCCAAAAAGCAUCAGUUAUUGAACACAUUGUCUAUGCCAGAUGGCCAUGUGGCUGCAGAUGAGCAGCCACCAGUGUCUUGCUUGCUGCCCAGGAGCCUCUCCAGUGACUGGAUGGAGAAGACCCAGUCUGGGGGUCAGGUAGAUGGUCUGUGCCCAACACAACCCCACCCCCCAACUGCACCCUGCCAGGCUUGGCAGGAGGCCUGGCACUGGGGCUGGCAUCAACUGGGCCCAGAAGGAGGUCAUGGAGGCCUCGCUUACGCUUGUUUCCCAUAAUUCUGGCUGCUUCCAGUCCCUUUCCUCUCCAGACACUGACGCAGAGCCUACCAACACGCUGAGGCCCCCUUUCUCAGCUUCCUGCUCGGCCACCGUAUCUUCUCAUUUCCUGUUUACCCAUCUCCCCUUUGGAAUUGCCUUGAGUUCCACGGGUGUGACAUCAACAGGCCUGGAAUGCCAUCCCCAGUCGCCACGCGAUCACCAAGACCACCACUGUCGUGCUUCUCCAUCCUUGCCCCCCCACCCCUUGUCACAGCUGUCUCCUCCCUGGGGUUCCAGGAGGCCCGGGCUGCUUCCUUCCCUUGAAAAUCCAUGUUGUCACAAUUGGGACUGUCGCUCUUUUUGAUGCUCAAAAUAACCUCGAAGACCAGUUGCAGCCAAACAGUCCCCCUGGGCACAGAUGGGGAGACUGAGCCAGGCCUGCUCCUGACCUCCUGACCUCGGGACAGCUGGGCCUGGGGACAGUGGCCCGGGACAGGGCACUGGAGGGUGCAAAGGCGUUCUGGUUGUACUCCUGGUUACACUGGUGUCUCUCAUCGGAAUCGUGGACCCAGGCCUGGGGAGGAGGUCUGGCAGAGCCCUCAAGGCCACUGCGGCAGCAAGGCCCAAAGGCUUCUCUGCUUUUCUGGGCCCCAACUUGGCCAUCGUCUGCCUGGGGUCCCUCCGCCCUUCUCUAGGCGGUCCCUUGGGCCUCUGUGCCCAGCCCCUUUCUCCUGGCCUGUGGUCAGCAUCUCAUGGGGACCUGUGGCAUGUUGACCCCCCAGUGUGAACCCUGGGAGAGGAGGGUGGCGACCACCACUUUCUCCUGCAUGUGCUGCUGUGUGUUGCAGCCGGACAGGGCUGGUGGCCGCCAUGCAGGCCAGAAGCACCAGUCCUACCUACUCUGUGCCCUCUGCCUGCAGCUGGCAACUGCCUGGGAAGUCCUGGAGGGAGGACAGGGCUAGCACACCGGCAGUACAUCUUGCCCCGGGGGCCAUGCACGGCUGCUCACGAGGCUAGAGCGUGGGGCAGCACACGCCCCAGAAGACACCAGCACCUGGGGGUGGUUGUGAAGAGUCGUGGCUGCAAAAAUGAGUCUGGUAAGAGUUUGUGAGAGGGAAAUGAGACCCAGUGAUUCCUUUUUCUUGCGAGGUCUCACUUGCGUGUCCCCGGUUCCAGCUCCCAAAUGUACUCUGGUGAUGCUUCUUUGGUCUGACCCGGCUCAGCCACCCCUGGUGGGAUGCUGGCCAGAACUGCUCAGGCUUGGUAGCUGGGCCCAUGCCUCCCACAGGCUGCUUGGAGCCACUGGUGAUGUUGAAGAGGCCCUCCUUCCCUGCAAGAGCAGCCUGGGCUCGGGAACUCGGUCUCCUGCCACUCCCCCGCCUCGAGAGGACCCUGAUAGUGGUCCUGCCCAUUGGCCUUGGAGCAGCCCCGUGGGCUCCACUUUACAGACAGCCUUUGGAACAGGGAGGGGACAGGCGCCGAUUUCAGCGCAGGACAGGAGGGCACCCCGCUGGAGAGCGACUGCCUUGCCUCGUGCAUUCGUUGUUGGGGCUGGCCUGGGCUGGCCCAGCACCUGAGACGUCUCGCCUCAUCAGUUUGCAGGCAUCAUGGCGUAUGGUGGUGGGUCUGUCUACCACCAACUGGGAGCCCCUCCCCUCCUGAGGGCUUGGUGCGGUUCUGGCCUGUGGUGAGUGUGCAGGGAACGCCUGAUGGGGACUGAGGCCAAACGGGAGCAGAGAGGAGCAGGGCAGAGCCGGGCCCUCACCCUGGAGGCGGGAGCAGGAGGCCUCGCCCAGGCAUUGGGGAUGGCAGCCCCUCACCUCCUAAGCAUCCACCGUGAUCCUGGCCCCAGACCUCUGCCCUGUGCCGGGCAGGCAGAGCUCUGCAGAUGGCUCUUCUCUGCAGGCAGAGGAACCCCCGACGACCUGCAGCCAGAAAGAGGGGUGGGAAGGAGAUGAUGAAGGGGAGUGAACUGAGACCCUGAGUCCUUGCCCUCACCCAAGUAUGACCAGUCGCCAGAGACCCAGGAAACCAGAUGACGGAUGUGUGCUCUGAGGGCUCUGGUCGCCGCCUUCUCACCUGGGCAUGACAGCCAGUGCACCUGUGCCACCAACCCACUCUGCCCUCCCCGGCUGGUGCCCGGGCCCCAAGGCCAGCAUGCACCAGGCAGGGUGCCACCAGCAGGGCAGGUACCAGGGCCACGGAGGGCCUUGGCCUGCGCAGCUGGGCAGUGGGCACCAGAGCCCUCGCUGCGUCCUGUUGAUUCUGGGAGGGUUUUCCGAUCUCUCUGGCCUGAUGCUCGCAUGGCCAGCCGGGGAGCUGGGAUGCAGUGGAGAGGUGGAGCCAGCCUUUGCAACCCCAAGCCCCGGCCCUCGCUGGCAGAGAGGUGGCCGUGGGGGAGGGGCAGGAGCUUCCCUCCGCUGUCUGGCGGGCCGCCUCCAGAUCUAGGUCAUCGUGCUUCAGCCUCACUCUCUGCCUUCCGCAAGCUGUGUUCCGUGGGAUUUUUUAAAUACCUGAAUGCCUCUGGGAGAAACUCAGUGUUGGUGCCAUUUCGUAUCUGCACCUUCGGCUUUUCGUGACAUUACAGAGCUACAGCGAGGACAGAGAGUCUCAGAGAUGCCAGGACACCUUGAGGAGGUCGCCUCCAGCCCCCUGAGCUGCCCUGUUUGAUGGACAGGAGCCGUGCAAGGGUUAGCAGCAUCCCGGCUGAAGAAAGCGAUGCUGUUCCACCUGGGAGAUCUGGGGGCGCAUCCUACGAAUCUGCUGGCCGGCACCCUCGUGGCCCAAUUUCCUGACUUCAGAAAUGUCCCAGGCAGAUACUUUGCCUAUAGAGCAACGGGUGCUGCUACCCCUCCGGUCUCUCAGCUAGAGGGGGACAGCCCCAGUGUGUCUGUGGUGGGAUUCGGGCUGUCCCCUGGACUCGCAGAAGUGGGAGGCCAAAGCCCCAGGGCCGUGGGACCCGUCCUGCUUUACUGCAAACACAGCAAUGUGUUUGACCAGGAGGUGCAGCCCCAGGCUCCAACAAGGUGUCCCGUAAUGGAUGAAAAAUUCUGAAUCGCAGACGCAUCUGGUCCUGAGGCUUUCUUUGGAUGAGAGCUGGAGCAGCGGAGUGUCCCCCACGCAUCCCAGUUCUGGAGAAGGAGAACAGGCUUUGGCCACCGACGGACCUUGGCAGAGCAAUGGUGCUGCUUACGUGACUUUUCCACUUAGUGAGCAAACAACUCUGUGCUGGGUGCUGUUGAUUCAGAGAUGGAGUCCCAGGAACCCCAAAUCCUCCUCCUCCCUCGCCCCUCACCGCCCUGGAACCCAGGGGUCAGCCAAGAGACCAAGGGCACAAGAGGGGCUGGGGAGGGAGAAGAGGCCAUGGAGGGUGCAGCAGGCCAUCUCCCUCCAAGGAGACCCUUGCCUGGGGAGCUAGUGCCCACAGGCCUAACUGUCCCUUUCUGAGGGACAGAAGGCGCCAGACGUGCCACUUGGGGGCACCCUGGAGAGGUCCAGGCAGACAGUGACAGAGAGAACUGGAGGCACUCAUGCUUGUGAACUCAUUGAAGUUCUGGGGCCUCAGCUUCCCCAUCUGUAAAUGGGGUGCAGGCCCUGGCUCUGCCUCCGCAGUGUCCCUGGCUGCCCUCCAGCACAGGAGGCCGAGACCCCCCUGCACCCCUUCUCAGGGUGGUCGCAGGUCUGCCUGUGGGUCUGCAGAGCAGAGCGUGCAGAGUUGGGGUUGGGGUGGGGCAGGCUUCAGGUUGGGCCAGUCCUGUCCCAGAUGUCAGCUCAGUUACCCUUCACAAAUAUCCCAGGAAAAGAGAGGGGGAACAUUGGCCCAGGACAAUUGCUUGGCCUCUGCAGUUUGCCCAGAUGUGUCCACUGCCAGAGCACACGGGCACAGCACCCAGCAGGCUGCAGGAGGGUAGCUGGGGUGGUGGCCCUGUGCCAGGUAUCAAGCCUUCUGUGACCAGCACCUUUCCAGCUGUAGCCGGGAACAGAACUCCCCAGGCCAGGGCCUCACACGUCCCUCGUGACGAGGAGAGAAGGCGGCAUCCACUGACCUCAGCGGGCAGAGCGCGCAGGGGCUAGCAUGAGGCAGCGAGACCCCCGGGGGCAGGCUUUGCAGAAGGCCCACAUCGAGGAACAGUCAGAGCCCAGGCACGGACAGGGGUCCCGCGAGAGCGCAGGGAGCCAGGGUCCGGGGCGGGCAGCGGCAGGUCCGCGCGGAGGGCGAGGGCAGCGCGCAUCUCGCCUGGUUCCCGGGCGCUGCCGAGAGACUGGAGGCGAGGGCGUCGCCGGGAGGCGGCGGCGCUGGGGCCUUUGGGGGGCGCCUGGUCCCCGCCCGCGCCGGCCGCGCCGGGUCGCGCGUGGGCGCGGCG